rnacentral:lncRNA from 1 species
GGCUGGGGAGUGGAUAUAACUACACUGCCUUUAAUAUUGUCUUCAAGCAAGAACAAAAAUAAUGUCUUCUUGGUGCUGUGCUGUCUACCCACUUAUCUCUUUGGUAUUGGAUCUCUCUGGUGAGAAAACGUUGUCACUCCUCUCUUUUUGUCUCUUCACUUUGCUGUGGUCAAAAUCUUGUAACAUCUAGUCUAGGAAGGAAAAAAAGACUAAUGCAUUUACCUCUUCUGGCCAAAAUUUGUAAUCUCUUUUCCAUCUAAUUUAGAAAACUGAGGCUGAAUAUUUGGUUUGAAGUCAAACAAUUCAGGAAUGGAUUUGAAGUCCUAAGUAUGAACAACGCAUUGCUUUGGGCCUUACCCAACACUUAACUUCACCUGUCUCAUCUACAAAAUAGAGAUAAUUUCUGAGUUUGUACGAUUGUUGUAAGUGCUCCAACAUGGGUCAUCUGAGGGCCACUGUUAGGAUUUUUAUCAAAUGUGUUCUGCCUGUUCUGUUACCUAUUUAAUAUCCUUAUUUAAGUCCAUUCAAGUUUUCACUUACCUAAAUUUAUUUUUGAAGGGAACAUUAUAUCAGUACUCAAAAUAGAAAAAAAGGCUAAUGAGUUUUAACUAGAUGCCAGUGAUCAAAGUGCAACCUCUGUUUCUGUGUUUAAAAGGGAGACAAGUGAAUGUUGGAGAGUUGUUAGAAAUGCCCUACCUCUUGCUUGGGGCUCUUUCAGUUAAUUGGGAGGGUCAAAAGAGAAUUUACAAAAGAGAAGCUUCCAAGCUUUAGGAGUUAUUGUGAUUUAGCUACAAGCUGCAUUCUACACUUUUGGAAACAUGGAGAGAAGGGAUAAGAAACUGCAUACAUUUUUAACUACUGUUACAGUGGAUUCAGAUUAGGUUUCUCCUUCUUUACCUUUUCUUUCAGUUUGCCCCAGAUCUAUAUCUUUGUUAAUAAAAAUAAUAAUAAAAUAGCAAUAAGAGAAACUGACAUUUAAUGAGUUUUUUUUUUCUGCUAGGCAUUGUGGUCAGUGCUUUAUAUGAACUAUUUCAUUUAAUCCUUAUGAAAUCCUUACAAGAUUAGAAUGAAAAUUACCCCCACUUUACAGCUGAGCAAACCUCAGCUAAGACAUCUGGCGACUAGCUCAAGGUAGCAGACCUGGGAAGUGUGGAUUUGAAAUGCAAACCCAGGCAGUCUUAUUCUAAAUGAGGCCCACAGUCCUAAGCAUGUGCAACUGUGGUCAUUAUGGGGAUGUAUGUAUUCCACCUUCACCUGUUAGACACUGCUAGGAGAGAGCAAUGAACAAUGUUGCUUAAGAAUUUUCCUUUCCACAUCAGCCUGGGACCCGAAGAGGAACUCUGGAAUGCCUAUUCCAGUUUGAACUCUGCCACUCAUUUGCUUUCUUGUUUUCCUUUGCUCUUGCUUCCUCUCCCUGAGCCUCAACUUCCAUCUUUAAACCAUGGAAGACUCUGGUAAAUUAUUGAUCAACAGGAAAGGCCCUCUGCACUGAUCUUUUAUAGUCUGUCUAGUAUUCAGCAACCUGGGAUUACUGAAUAACCAGCAAUAGACUGUGAGAACAAGAUGUGAGUCAAAGAAAGCAUUGGUCCUUUAUAUUCCAGGCCAUCAGAGAGGCUGCUCAUAGUAGGAGUGGCCCCUGAAAAAGGCAGUUUGCCUUCCCCAUAUUUCUUGGUCGGAACCUGGAACACUAUUUGGAUAUGCUCCCAUUGGUCUCAUUAAGCAUCAGCCUACCAUUGCAAGCUUUGUGCAGUUUCUCUGCACUUUUAUAAGAUCUCUAAGUCUCUCAUAACAGUAUAUAAAGAGGGAUUGUUGACUUCAUUUUACAGAAGAGGAAAGACUUUGUCAGGGAAAGUGAUUUGUCCAAGAACAAGAGCUGAUAUGAGGCUGAAGUCAGAGGACUGAAAACAUUCAGAUUUCUCAAUUCUAACAAAGUGCUUCCUUCUUAAGUUUAUUUUAUUUCUAAAUAUAUAAAUUAUACAUUUUUAGACUAUAUAAAUAAUAGGUUACAUAAAUGAUGUAUUUAUGCAAUCCAUUUCCACUGUAAAAAUUUGUUAUAUAUAUUAAUACAUACAAGAAAAUACCCCUUGACUCCAACUCAAUGCUACCCCCCUCCCCAGAAGUAAAUGCUUUUUUCACUUGG